rnacentral:misc_RNA from 1 species
GAUGAAGAACGUAGCGAAAUGCGAUAAGUAGUGUGAAUUGCAGAAUUCCGUGAAUCAUCGAAUCUUUGAACGCACAUUGCGCCUUCUGGUAUUCCGGAAGGCAUGCCUGUUCAAGAGUCAUUAACAACCGUUUCGAUCCCUUUCUUUCAGAAAUUACAAAGAGGAAAAGGGUUUGGUUAUGGUGGAGGAGGGAAAGGGAGCGUUUAGCCUGUAAAAAAAGAGGCUGUGUUCCGCCUCCCCCCCAAAAUUGUACAGGCGAUCGUGUGCGCCCACGCAUCGAGGUGUUGUAAAAGCUGCCACGGCACUUUUCACCUGUGCAGUGCGAGAUUGGCCAGCCGGUUUAAAAACCCCUCCAAACAAUCAAAGGUUGACCUCGGAUCAGGUAGGGAUACCCGCUGAACUUAAGCAUAUCAAUAAGCGGAGGA